CCUACGGGAGGCAGCAGUGGGGAAUUUUGGACAAUGGGCGCAAGCCUGAUCCAGCAAUGCCGCGUGCAGGAUGAAGGCCUUCGGGUUGUAAACUGCUUUUGUACGGAACGAAACGGCCCUUUCUAAUACAAGGGGCUAAUGACGGUACCGUAAGAAUAAGCACCGGCUAACUACGUGCCAGCAGCCGCGGUAAUACGUAGGGUGCGAGCGUUAAUCGGAAUUACUGGGCGUAAAGCGUGCGCAGGCGGUUAUAUAAGACAGAUGUGAAAUCCCCGGGCUCAACCUGGGACCUGCAUUUGUGACUGUAUAGCUAGAGUACGGUAGAGGGGGAUGGAAUUCCGCGUGUAGCAGUGAAAUGCGUAGAUAUGCGGAGGAACACCGAUGGCGAAGGCAAUCCCCUGGACCUGUACUGACGCUCAUGCACGAAAGCGUGGGGAGCAAACAGGAUUAGAUACCCUGGUAGUCCACGCCCUAAACGAUGUCAACUGGUUGUUGGGUCUUCACUGACUCAGUAACGAAGCUAACGCGUGAAGUUGACCGCCUGGGGAGUACGGCCGCAAGGUUGAAACCCGAAGGAAUUGACGG
rnacentral:rRNA from 1 species